AUUACAUAAGCCCGAUGCCCGGGACCGACCAAAUCCACCGUGAGAUUGACAGGUUGGCUACCGUUCAAGCCGAGCUGUGUGUUCUCUCGUGCCUUUCUUGGGAUUAGCUUAAAAGAGCAUCGUCCUCAGUGUCUGCUAAGGUCAGCCAUUUUGGAGCCUGCCUUUAAUUGAUUGCGAGUCUUGUUUAUUGUCGUGUUACUCUCGUGAGCUUUGACAAAGUGGAUGAAACAAUUAUCUUUGUUAUCGGCCAGAGCAGUAGAAAUGUGAGAGUUGGGGGAUUUCUGCAGGUGGACAGCCUUGGCUGGGGAUCAAAACCAGUGGUGAAACACGCUCAGGAAUGUUCCCCUCCUCUCUCCCUCUCUCUCUCGUCUGUGACUAUGAGCUUCCGAAGAUGGAUUGUGUAUCCCGAUGAACAGUAGAGUCGUGAUGAGUGGAUGUUCCAGUCUGUGGCUCUGGAUAUCCAACUGGAAGUAGGAAGAUAUCAGAUCCUGUUGAGCAGUCACAACAUGGAAUGGGAUAGACUACGAGAAUGGAGUCUACAAAGGCUGCAAUAACAGCAUUCAGUCCUGUUGCUUAGGUCGGGUGGGAAAGGCCUGAUAAGAACUUAGACAUUCUCGGUAGGGGCUUUGACCUGUGCUGUUUUUUGCUUGGGAGACUUAAGGUUGUGCACACAUAAGCACACGCUGUCACUGACUAGAUUGCAUUGUCUUUAGCUAUCUAUGUUCCCAAAUAGAUAAGCUUGCAAAAUUCAGCCAAGUAGCUUCUUCUGCACUGUAUAGACUCAGGAAGAACUGCAAUUAGUUUUUACUAACUUCCAGGUUCUAUGAAGUACAAAAAUAAUAGGUUGGAGGUUCACUAAUCAACGAGAUUCUCUUUGCAAAUACCACCUGCAUGAGGUCCAUGUUGUUAAAGGGAUUUUUAAAAUGACCGACAGUUUGUUCCAUGGCAGAUGGAAA